CUACGGCAAUGGAGUAACUCAAAACCGGAGACUCAGUCAGAUUUAUCAUCAAAGGUACAUUGUAUUCCCGCUCAAACAUUUCAAAUCACUGAAUCUGAUAGAUAAAUUACACAAAUGAAUCUUCGUUUUGUGAGAAAUUAUCGUUGCACCAUAUCACAACUUGAGAGUUUUGUGAGAGACGAGUGUAAAUCUGGUAAAAUUAAGAAGCUUGAUGAUGGUUUGAGAUACUUCGAUCAAUUGAUUUCAGAAAAGCCUUUGCCGUCUAAUCAUACAUUUAAUCAUGUAUUUGGUUCACUAUCCAAAAUCAAAUGCUAUUCAGAUGUCAUUUUGUUGUACAAGAAAAUGAAUUUGGUUGGGGUACAACCCAGUAUAUAUACAUUGAGCAUUUUGAUUAAUUGCUGUUGUCAAUUAGGCAAAGUUGAUCAUGGGUUUUGUUUGUUUGGGGAGGUGUUAAAGAGGGGUUAUCAUCCUGAUACUGCCACUUUUAAUACACUGAUUAAAGGGUUGUGUCUUCAACAAAAGAUUGAUUUUGCAUUCAAAGUGUUUGAUAAAAUGGCUGAGAUGGGUGUUCAACCUGAUGCUAUUACAUGUAAUACUCUUAUAUCCGGGCUUUCUAAAACUGGAAAAGUUGAUCAUGCUCUUGAGGUGAAAAACAAGAUGGUUGAAUGGAAAUGCAGCCCUACGGUUGUUACAUAUUGUGCGACUAUAGAAACACUUUGUAAAGGAGGAUUAGUUGAUGAAGCUUUGGUUCUAUUCUCUGAAAUGCUUAAAGAUCUGAAUGUUGCACCCGAUGUAGUUGUUUACACUUCUUUGAUUAACGGGCUUUUCGAUUCAGGACGGUUGGACGAGGCAAGGAGAAUCUUUGACGAGAUGGUUAGUAGAGGAAUCUCUGCGGAUGUAACAACUUAUAGCUGUAUGAUUCAUGGUCAUUGCAUACAUGGUCAAUGGGAAGAAGCAAGAAGAUAUUUUAAUGAAAUGUUGGAUCAAGGGAUUUUACCCACUACAAUAACCUUUACUAUAUUGAUAGAUUCACUUUGUAAAUAUGGUAACAUAGAUGAUGCUGUGGGGGUAUUUAGAUACAUGGAGAAGCUAAAUAUAAAACCUGAUCGGAUUACUUAUAAUUCAAUGAUCAACGGUCUAUGUUUGGCAGGUCGGUUGCAAGAUGCGGCGGAACUAUUUGACUCGAUGGUGGAUAGGGGCCUUGAACCGAAUGCUGUCAGUUGCACUACAUUAAUUGAUGGGUAUUGCAGGAAUUGUAAGCUGGAUGAAGCUAUGUUGUUAUUCAAUAAAAUGAAACAAAACGGGUUGAAACCUACAACACUUACUUACAGUAUACUCUUAGCUGGGCUAUACCGAGGUGGUAGAAUAAAGGUCGCAGAAGGUAUCUUCAAUGAGAUACAAUCAUUUGGUCAAUAUCCAAAUAAAAUUACAUUUGGUACAGUUUUAGAUAGAAUCUGCAAGAAUGGAAAAAUUGAGGAGGUAGUAGAAUUGUUUGGAUCGAUGGAUGCUUCCUUUAUCUCAGUUACAUCCCCUUGAUCCAGUUUUACGCCAGCCCUGGCCGAACUCCUUUACGUAAGUUUUGGUUUCAUGAUUGCAUCUGACAUGUGGAUUGUUGAGAGAGUAUCUAGUAGCUGCCACUGCUUUCCUAAGGGGUUACUCAAUGUUUCUGCCCAAAACCUGUCGAAGAAGAUACAAGAAGAAUGGACUGCUACACUAAGUCAUAACUUCUAAGUCAGCCGAGUAAGUUGAGUAUAAAGAAUGACAAAUCUGAUGCUUGGAAGCUGGACCUGCAUAGUUUGGCAUGUACCUGCACUUUAUCUGACAGAUUGGUGUUUGAUGCCCUACCUUGAAUGCACCGUUGUUUGUGGCUAUCAAAUAUUCUUUGGCACAAAGAAGAGUACAUCCAUGGAUAAACACCCAAUCAGUACCCAAUUGAGUGGAAAGUCUCGUUUACCAAGAUGUUUUCACUUUCUUCUUUCUAUGUUCAAGGUGGUCUAGCUGCUCUCACUAACGGCUGUGCUAAAGGCUGGAGGUGGAUUUCAGGGAUUUUUGAUUCGAGUCCAGCA